rnacentral:rRNA from 1 species
GUGCCAGCAGCCGCGGUAAUACGGAGGGAGCAAGCGUUACUCGGAAUUAUUGGGCGUAAAGGGCGCGUAGGCGAUUUGACUAGUCUUGUGUGAAAGCCCAGGGCCUAACCCUGGAAGUGCACAAGAAACUGUUGAAUUUGAGUUCCGGAGAGGAAGGCAGAAUUCCCGGUGUAGCGGUGAAAUGCGUAGAUAUCGGGAGGAAUACCAGUGGCGAAGGCGGCCUUCUGGACGGAUACUGACGCUGAGGCGCGAAAGCCAGGGGAGCAAACGGGAUUAGAAACCCUCGUAGUCC